rnacentral:rRNA from 1 species
AUGUUCGGUGCGCCCUACGACUUCCGAUACACCGUCGCGGCGGCGGGACAUCCAUCGAGAACCGGCACCGCGUUCUUCACGAACCUCAAGAGCCUGGUGGAGAGGGCGAGCCAGCUCAACGGUGACCGCCCGGCGAUUAUCGUCACCCACAGCUAUGGUGGCACGCUGGCGCACCAGUUCCUGAUCCAGCAGCCCCUGGCGUGGCGCCGGCGGUUCGUGAGGCACUUCAUCCCCGUCGCCGCUCCAUGGGGCAGGCUCGUGCUGGGCAUGCAGGCCCUCAUCUCAGGCAACAACCUCGCCCUCCCCUUCGUCGACCCCGAGGCCCUGCGGAAAGAGUACCGCAGCCUGCAGAGCAGCCUGUGGCCGCUACCCAGUGCGAAGGUGUUCGGGGCCGCGCAGCCGCUGGUGAGCACCAAGCGUCGGAACUACUCAGCCGGCGACGUGGUGGACUUCCUCGUCAACAUUGGGUUCGGGGAAGGCGUCGGGCCAUAA